rnacentral:rRNA from 1 species
GACGAACGCUGGCGGCGUGCCUAAUACAUGCAAGUCGUGCGGACCUUUUAAAAGCUUGCUUUUAAAAGGUUAGCGGCGGACGGGUGAGUAACACGUGGGCAACCUGCCUGUAAGACUGGGAUAACGCCGGGAAACCGGGGCUAAUACCAGAUCGUUUUUUCCUCCGCAUGGAGGAAAAAGGAAAGGCGGCUUCGGCUGCCACUUACAGAUGGGCCCGCGGCGCAUUAGCUAGUUGGCGGGGUAACGGCCCACCAAGGCAACGAUGCGUAGCCGACCUGAGAGGGUAAUCGGCCACAUUGGGACUGAGACACGGCCCAAACUCCUACGGGAGGCAGCAGUAGGGAAUCUUCCGCAAUGGACAAAAGUCUGACGGAGCAACGCCGCGUGAGUGAAGAAGGCCUUCGGGUCGUAAAACUCUGUUGCCGGGGAAGAACAAGUGCCGUUCGAACAGGGCGGCGCCUUGACGGUACCCGGCCAGAAAGCCACGGCUAACUACGUG